rnacentral:lncRNA from 1 species
CUGACUGAGCCACCCAGUGCUCAAUAGUUCCUUUCUCUCUGAAUGCUGAAUAGUAAAUUUUCAACGUGAAUGGGGGAUAAACAGGCAUACAUACAUACAUACAUACAUACACCACUAAGAAAGCCAUGAGUUGUUAGACAUGAACUAUUUUCCAUCAUCUUUGUCUUCUAGUUAUAUUCAUGCCUCUAGUGUUUGUUGAUUGCAAUGCACGAUCUUGCUUGUGAGGUACAAAUUGUUGUGUGUUCAGUUUUCCGUGAAAGUCUUUCCUCAAAUCUGCCUUAACAACACGAUGCAAAUGUUGAAUUCAAGGAUGCAGAGCUAAGAGCCUUGAGGUGCAAUAACUGUCAACUAGAAGUUAUAUUUUCUGUUGGGGAGAUAUCCCCAUAUGAUGGCAAUGGCUUUGCAUUGGUAAGGGAAAGAAUACUUUCAUGCCUUCAGGGUUCUUGUCUUUUUUCUGUCACCAAAAUCAAGACUCAGGUCAUGUGCACGUUUAUGAAGAAAACACCUUUUUUUUUUUUCCAGAAAAUAAAAACGCCCUGGAAGACAAGCGUGCCACAUUGAGGUCUGUGAAAGCCACAAAGGAAGCGAAAGUCAAACAGCUGAAGGAGAAAGCACAUACCCUGGAAGAAUUCUAUGAACAAAGAAAAGUGCCUACAAAAAAGCAACAAAUUGAACAAACACGGGAACAGCUGCAGCAGGCAGAGCUCACCUUUAGAUACCAGGUAACCUGAGUUCUGCCUGACAUACUGAACCCUUAGCACCUCACGCGGGUGAGUGUAGUGGCCCUUGGAAUCCCUAACCAUGGGCUUUUCAUUGUUGGCUUUUUCAGCUUGCAGUUCAUGAGAAGAAUGCUCAGGACAACUAGGUAAGUGUUUUCUUGUUUCCUCCUCUUUGUUUGGUGCACAGUGUGGCACCACCUUCCGACUGAAGGUGGAUGUGUUUUUCUCCCCCAGAUCAAGACUCAGAUCUGGGACAGGGAGAUGGCGGAGCAGGGCAGGGAGGUUGGUUACUUGAAAUACAGGUGUGGUCAUUUGACUUGCGUUUUUAUGGGUGUUUCCAGGGAUGACACCUGCACUGUUAGUUGUCUAGUAAACACGUGGUGUUGCAACUCUUAUAGAAGUCCAUUAUUUUUGUGUAUCCAAGACUGGAAGGGAUGGAAGCAAAGAGGCUGCCUGAGGGAUACACGGGGCAGAAACCAAUGGCUGCAAGACCAGAGACGCAGAACCCUCCGAGGAGAGGUAAGAGGCACGUUGUGAUGUGCCGUAAUCUAACUUCUGCUGUGCAGCUUGUUCCUGUGGAUGAUCAUUGUGUGGUUGGAAAGAAUCACAAGCAGUAAGGACGGCAGGUGGUCUGAAGGGGUGACAGAAGGGUGUUCUCCUCUGGCGCCACAGACAGUGAGACACUUGUCCCUGAGACUGGUGGAGCUCAUGCCCCUCCUCUGCCGGUGACCCUCCCAACUCCUCUAGCAUCCCCCUGUCUGAAGAGCCUGGAAAGGAUGACAGGACAUGGGCCUAUUCCUUUUUCCCACUCAGACUCAAUGUGAAGACUUUAGUUUAUUUGAGGAGAAGGUCAUUUAUUCACUAGUUUUAAUGGUCUUUCUUUUUGUUUGUUUUUGGGAACUGUAGCUCUACAUCCCUCAAUUCAAGUUCCAUAAAGCUUAGCUUAGUCCUCUGAUGGUAUCAGUGUAACUCUGCAGCUUCACUGCUAACUUCUCACAGUUUUCCUUUUCUCUAUAGUGUAAAAUUAGUCUUUAGUUAUAUACUAAUUGCUCUCAUGUGGAAAGCAGCUUGUAGAUAAGCUGAGAGAUUGAACAAUUUGCCUGAAGUCUGAAGAAAUGCACGCUUCUUGAGGACUCAUUGAGGAUAUACACCAAACCAGUAUUCUCAAUGUUAUUUUUUUUUAAGUUUAUUUUAAGAGAGGCAGAGACAAAAUGCCAAGCAGGUUCCACACUGUCAGUGAGGAACCCAACGCUGGGCUUGAAUUCACAAGCUGUGAGAUCGUGACCUGAGCCAAAAUUAAGAGUCGGAUGCUGAAUCCAAGCAUCCUCAUAUUAAUUCUAUAUCUGUAAUGAAAAUCAUGAUUUCCCAUGAUGUAUACUGAGAAAACUGUUUUACUGAUGAAUUCUAAAUUGUUAGUUGUGCCUGACCUGUCCACAGUUAUGUGAUUAAUUAUGAAACAACAUGAACUAGAGCACUGUGAGGUCUUUAUCAAGGUGAGGGGAUGAUUCUCUCCCUUAUCCUUGGGGGUCACCUGAGGCAUGUGGGAUACCCUCUGCCUCUGGUCAGGGACCUGACUGUAGGGAAAAGUUUAAGAUAUUUGAGGAAUGAGUUGAGGGAUUGUUUUCAUUAUGCCCAGUCCUCUGAAAGCAGAAUAAACCUCUGUCCCUUCUAUGGUCGUUAGUAGAU